UACAGAGGGGGCAAGCGUUGUUCGGAAUUAUUGGGCGUAAAGGGUGCGUAGGCGGUGCGGUAAGUCUUCUGUGAAAUCUCCGGGCUCAACUCGGGAACUGCAUCCGAAACUGCUCGGCUAGAGUCCCGGAGAGGAAGGCAGAAUUCCCAAUGUAGGGGUGAAAUCCGUAGAUAUUGGGAGGAAUACCGGUGGCGAAGGCGGCCUUCUGGACGGUGACUGACACUCAGACGCGAAAGCGUGGGGAGCAAACAGG
rnacentral:rRNA from 1 species